rnacentral:rRNA from 1 species
GCUGGCGGCAGGCCUAACACAUGCAAGUUGAGCGCUCGUAGCAGUACGAGAGCGGCAGACGGGAGAGUAACACGUGGGAACGUACCCUUCGGUUCGGAAUAACCCAGGGAAACUUGGGCUAAUACCGGAUACGUCCGCAAGGAGAAAGAUUCAUUGCCGAAGGAUCGGCCCGCGUCCGAUUAGCUAGUUGGUGAGGUAACGGCCCACCAAGGCGACGAUCGGUAGCUGGUCUGAGAGGAUGAUCAGCCUCACUGGGACUGAGACACGGCCCAGACUCCUACGGGAGGCAGCAGUGGGGAAUAUUGGACAAUGGGCGCAAGCCUGAUCCAGCCAUGCCGCGUGGGUGAUGAAGGCCCUAGGGUUGGAAAGCCCUUUCGGCGGGGAAGAUAAUGACGGUACCCGCAGAAGAAGCC